rnacentral:rRNA from 1 species
UACAGAGGGGGCAAGCGUUGUUCGGAAUUACUGGGCGUAAAGGGCGCGUAGGCGGCCUUCUAAGUCGAACGUGAAAUCCCCGGGCUCAACCCGGGAACUGCGUCCGAUACUGGAAGGCUUGAAUCCGGGAGAGGGAUGCGGAAUUCCAGGUGUAGCGGUGAAAUGCGUAGAUAUCUGGAGGAACACCCGUGGCGAAGGCGGCACUCUGGGACGGUACUGACGCUGAGACGCGAAAGCGUGGGGAGCGAACAGG